GAUGAACGCUGGCGGCAGGCCUAACACAUGCAAGUCGAGCGAGAUCUUCGGAUCUAGCGGCGGACGGGUGAGUAACGCGUGGGAACGUGCCCUUUGCUUCGGAAUAGCCCCGGGAAACUGGGAGUAAUACCGGAUACGCCCUUAGGGGGAAAGAUUUAUCGGCGAAGGAUCGGCCCGCGUUGGAUUAGGUAGUUGGUGGGGUAAUGGCCUACCAAGCCGACGAUCCAUAGCUGGUUUGAGAGGAUGAUCAGCCACACUGGGACUGAGACACGGCCCAGACUCCUACGGGAGGCAGCAGUGGGGAAUCUUAGACAAUGGGCGCAAGCCUGAUCUAGCCAUGCCGCGUGAGCGAUGAAGGCCUUAGGGUUGUAAAGCUCUUUCAGGUGGGAAGAUAAUGACUGUACCACCAGAAGAAGCCCCGGCUAACUCCGUGCCAGCAGCCGCCGUAACAC
rnacentral:rRNA from 1 species